AUUUAGCAACAGUUAUGUAGCAACACUACAAACAAAAGUGUUACUAAAUAUGCUAUUUUUUUAAUUAUAAAGACUUGUUUGAAAAAAGUGUUGCCAAAUCUCUAUUUAGUUAGAUUUUUCAUUUAUUUAUUUAUUUUAGUAGUUUAUUAAAAAUAUCAAGUACAACACUUCUAAAUAAGCGAUGCGAUUUCAAUUUACACCAUUAAAAUAGCAACAGUUUUUAUAAAAGUGUGUCUAAUGAUAUUUUUAAGUAAUUUUUUUUCUAGUAAUAAUUAAUAAUAAUAUAUUUUUUAAAAACUAAAUUAAGAACACGUACUCAAGUACAUAUUCUAAUAACUGCUCAUACUUCUUUCGUGCUAAAUUUCCCAUUCCUGCGCAUAAAGAACUUGGUUUCCUCUGGUUUUCUUUAUGCUGCUGGUAAGCUCUUUUGAAAGUUUUCAAAGCUUCAUCCUCACUCUCCCAUCAGAAUUGAAGGUGAUCUUCUUUAGAAAGGUUGAAAGGUCACUCCCAUUCAACCCUUCUCUGGUUUUUAAACUUUUUCUUAUUUUCUCGUAUGUCGUAUGCUUAGGGUGUUCUACUUUUUAGUUGAAAAUUGUAAGUUUAAUAUUUAUAAUGAUUACUUAUAAUUUUUACUAACCAUGGUUCAAAGAGACAGUGCUUCUAUAUUUUACGAGGACUAUUGAGGAAAGAAGAACAAAUUAAAUUUAAAGAAUGAGAGACAAUAGAGCAGAGUAAAUUUCAAACCAAUUAAACUAAGCAAGGGCACAAGAAAACAAGUUCAAGAGGAUAUGAUAUAAUCCACCUCCACAGAGUUCAGAAAAAUCAAAGAAAGACACAACAAAGCCCAUGCAGCAAGCUUUGCCAGUGAUUCGGAUGGACUAAUUGCAGUUUGAUGAAGAGAGUGGACAACACAUUAUUUCUAUGAAUUUUUUGUUUUUAUUUCAUUUAAUUGUCUUGCAAAUCAAAGUGAUAAAUUAGAAAUUCACAUUGUCGAUAUACACAAUUUGACAUAUUUACUGUCUUCAUUGUAAUAGUUUAUGUAGAGCUUUGUAAUACUUAAAUAAUUUUGUAUUAAUUUUAAAUUAUGUUCUAUAACUUUUACAUUUAAUGCGAAAAAAUUUAUGCAAAUUCUAUUUGAUGUACGUAUUUGAUUUUUUAUUUAUUGUUUUUUUUAUAUAUAUAUAUUGGGUGGCAAUACUAAUACUAAUGUAU